rnacentral:rRNA from 1 species
GUCUAUGGCCAUGCCGCCCUGAACAAGCCCGAUCUCGUCUGAUCUCAGAAGCUAAGCAGGGUCAGGCCUCGUUAGUACUUGGAUGAGAGACCACCUAGGAAAACCAGGUGCUAUAGGCG